rnacentral:rRNA from 1 species
GACGAAUGCUGGCGGCGUGCCUAAUACAUGCAAGUCGAGCGCAGGAAAUCGACGGAACCCUUCGGGGGGAAGUCGACGGAAUGAGCGGCGGACGGGUGAGUAACACCUAAAGAACCUGCCCUCAGGUCUGGGAUAACCACGAGAAAUCGGGGCUAAUACCGGAUGGGUCAUCGGACCGCAUGGUCCGAGGAUGAAAGGCGCUUCGGCGUCGCCUGGGGAUGGCUUUGCGGUGCAUUAGCUAGUUGGGGGGGUAAUGGCCCACCAAGGCGACGAUGCAUAGCCGACCUGAGAGGGUGAUCGGCCACACUGGGACUGAGACACGGCCCAGACUCCUACGGGAGGCAGCAGUAGGGAAUCUUCCACAAUGGACGAAAGUCUGAUGGAGCAACGCCGCGUGAACGAUGAAGGCCUUCGGGUCGUAAAGUUCUGUUGUAAGGGAAGAACAAGUGCCGCAGGCAAUGGCGGCACCUUGACGGUACCUUGCGAGAAAGCCACGGCCAACUACGUGCCAGCCGCCGCCGUAAUAC